rnacentral:rRNA from 1 species
AACGAACGCUGGCGGCAGGCCUAACACAUGCAAGUCGAACGCCCCGCAAGGGGAGUGGCAGACGGGUGAGUAACGCGUGGGAACAUACCCUUUCCUGCGGAAUAGCUCUGGGAAACUGGAAUUAAUACCGCAUACGCCCUACGGGGGAAAGAUUUAUCGGGGAAGGAUUGGCCCGCGUUGGAUUAGCUAGUUGGUGGGGUAAAGGACUAACAAGGCGACGAUCCAUAGCUGGUCUGAGAGGAUGAUCAGCCACAUUGGGACUGGGACACGGGCCAAACUCCUACGGGAGGCAGCAGUGGGGAAUAUUGGACAAUGGGCGCAAGCCUGAUCCAGCCAGGGCGCGUGAGUGAUGAAGGUCUUAGGGUUGUAAAGCUCUUUCACCGAUGAAGAUAAUGACGGUAGUCGGAGAAGAAGCCCCGGCUAACUUCGUGCCAGCCGCCGCGGUAACAC